ACAGUACAUAUUAAUUGAUAUUUGCGCUAACUUCACACAAUUACGGAUACUAAUUUUAAAACAUGGCUUCUGUAAAGUUUGCUGUUGUUGAUGUAAACGAAUUUCUAGCUAAAAAACAGACCUCUGAGCCGGAGUUAUCGGAGGAUUGGGCUAAAUUAGAGGAGCUUUACAACAAAAAGCUAUGGCACCAACUUACAUUAAAAGUACAAGAACUCGUGAAGCAUCCGUCUCUACAAACCGGCGACAAUCUUAUACAGCUAUACAGCAACUUCCUAACCACCUUCGAGAACAAAAUCAACCCACUGUCUCUUGUAGAGAUCAUAGCUGUGGUGGUGGCGCAGUACACAGACAAGAAAGAUGCCAUUGCCUUCCUGGAGAAGGUGGAGGCUAAGGUCAAGAUGAAUGAUGAGGCCCUGGCCCUCUGUAAGGUCCUACAAGGUCAGAUAUACCUUGAGCAUCUUAAUGACUUGGAUGCCACAGAGAAGAUUAUAGAACAGCUGGAGAAUACUCUAGAAGAUGCAGAUGGUGUCACCCCAGUGCACGGCAGAUUCUACAAGCUUGCCUCUGAGUACUACAGGGUGCGCGGGCCCAUGGCGCGCUACUACCGCGCGGCGCUGCGCUACGUGGGCUGCCUGGGCGGCGGCGCGGCGCUGCGGCCCGACGAGCGCCGCGAGUGCGCGCUGCGCCUGGCGCUGGCCGCCGUGCUGGCGCCCACCGUGUACGACCUGGGCGAGCUGCUGGCGCACCCCAUCCUGGAGUCGCUGCAGGGCUCGCCGGACGCGUGGGCGUGCGAGCUGCUGCGCGCCGUGGCGGCGGGCGACGUGCUCGCCUUCGAGCGCAUUCGAGCGCAGGCGCCGCACCAGGAGCUGCACCGCGCGGACCGCCAGCUGCGCCAGAAGAUCGCCAUCCUGUGCCUCAUGGAGAUGGCGUUCAACCGCACGUCGGCGCAGCGCCGCCUGUCGUUCGGCGAGAUCGCGCGGGAGGCGCGCGUGCCGCCCGCAGACGUGGAGCUGCUGGUCAUGAAGGCGCUCGCCGACAAGCUCAUCCGCGGGCACAUCGACCAGGUCAGCGAGACGGUGACGGUGACGUGGGUGCGCGCGCGCGCGCUGGGCCGCGCGGGCGCGGGCGCGCUGGCGCGGCGCCUGGACGCGUGGUGCGCCGCCGCCGACGGCGCCGCCGCCCUGCUGCACAGCACGGCGCCCGACCUGCUCACGCUGUAGCCGCGACUCCGCGCGGGCUCCUAAUCACGACGUAAACAUCUGCACCAACUACGGUCGUGUCUUUUGGCAUGCCCCUACACUGAACGGGACCCCACUUUAGGAGAACGUCGAUUAUGAUAUGAGAAAACAUGCAGGAUCAAGAACUUAGAAAUGAAGUGUUAAUAUCAAGAGGCAGACACAAGCCAAGGUUACUUACUGAAUAUGGACAUUGAACAAUAAGUGACUUUGACUCAUUUGUUAUAGCUGUAUCAUUUAUGAUGUAUGUCUGAAAUUAAUAAACAAAUUACAAUUUUA